rnacentral:rRNA from 1 species
AUUGAACGCUGGCGGCAGGCCUAACACAUGCAAGUCGAGCGGAUGAAGGGAGCUUGCUCCUGGAUUCAGCGGCGGACGGGUGAGUAAUGCCUAGGAAUCUGCCUGGUAGUGGGGGAUAACGUCCGGAAACGGGCGCUAAUACCGCAUACGUCCUGAGGGAGAAAGUGGGGGAUCUUCGGACCUCACGCUAUCAGAUGAGCCUAGGUCGGAUUAGCUAGUUGGUGGGGUAAAGGCCUACCAAGGCCACGAUCCGUAACUGGUCUGAGAGGAUGAUCAGUCACACUGGAACUGAGACACGGUCCGGACUCCUACGGGAGGCAGCAGUGGGGAAUAUUGGACAAAGGGCGAAAGCCUGAUCCAGCCAUGCCGCGUGUGUGAAGAAGGUCUUCGGAUUGUAAAGCACUUUAAGUUGGGAGGAAGGGCAGUAAGUUAAUACCUUGCUGUUUUGACGUUACCAACAGAAUAAGCACCGGCUAACUUCGUG